GCGGGCGUGGCGGAAUUGGUAGACGCGCUAGACUUAGGAUCUAGUGCCGCAAGGUGUGAGAGUUCGAGUCUCUCCGCCCGCA
rnacentral:tRNA from 1 species